rnacentral:tRNA from 2 species
GCCUUGAUGGUGAAAUGGUAGACAUGCAAAAUUCAAAAUUUUGUGCUUCAAGCAUGGAGGUUCGAGUCCUCUUCAAGGCA